rnacentral:rRNA from 1 species
GGUAGCGCAAUCACUUGUCUUUUAAAUGAGGACCUGUAUGAAUGGUGGAACGAGGGCUUAACUGUCUCCCUUCCCUAGCCAGUGAAAUUGAUCUACCCGUGCAGAAGCGGGUAUUUAAAUACAAGACGAGAAGACCCUUUGGAGCUUAAGACAUCAGGUCAACUAAGUCAAACCAUUUUCUAAUAAAAACCAAAACAAAAUUAGCAAAUUGACCAUAGUCUUCGGUUGGGGCGACCAAGGGGGAAAAAAUAGCCCCCAUGAAGAUUGGAAAAACUCUAAAACCAAGAGAGACAUCUCUAAGUAACAGAACAUCUGACUAAAAGAUCCGGUACUUUACCGAUCAACGAAUCAAGUUACCCUAGGGAUAACAGCGCAAUCCUCUUCAAGAGUCCAUAUCGACAAGAGGGUUUACGACCUCGAUGUUGGAUCAGGACAUCCUAAUGGUGCAGCCGCUAUUAAGGGUUCGUUUGUUCAACGAUUAA